CAGAUAAUACUCGCAACGAAGUGAUUUAGGCUCAAACUUGUUGUAAGUAGCGCAUAAUAAGGAAAACGGAGAUUUCUUUCACUUGCAUAGCCUUGACAUAAUUGAUUUGGCUGGCAAACCGCUCAAAGGAAGGCGGUGAUGCAUGAGUGCAAAUGACCCCUUUCAGUGCCUGACUGUAUGCACCAAUCUUAGUGAAAACGUUAGAACACCAUCCGUGGGGCGACAACUAUUUCUUAUAUUCUUGUGCACCAGAAUUUAGGUAUUCAUGUGAAUCUCAUGAUCUUGAACAAUGAACAUACAUAAAAAUGUUGAGCCUCUUGUUUUCUGAAGAUGGUAAGGUCUGUUUCAUUUUGCUUUAAAUUAUAAUUUUCAUG